AAGAUUUGUAGCUGGAAGGGACUCGGGUUCAUCAGAAGCGAUGGCAUGAGAGGUCAUGGAAACUAUGUUGGCGGCAGGGGUUUUGGUCGAGGUGGUGAUUUUGGUGGCAACAGGAAUGACUAUGGUUUCAGAGGUAACAGCCGUGGAGGAGGUUCAAACCAUGGUGGUGAUGGAUAUCAAAGAGACAACAAUGGUGGACGUGUGAACCGUGGACAGGAUGUUAAUGGGACUGCCAGAAAUACAGCACAAUGAGAGUUCCCUUUGGUGAUUCACUGAUAACACAUAAUUUCAAGAGAUAUGAUUGGUUGAUUUUUGGCUUCAAAUUUCAAAAUUGCAGUGGUGAUAAUAGAGACGGAUAGAAUGAGUUUGUUUUUUAGUUUUUAUUUUUUGGCAUUACUAUCAGUCUAUCACUGUAUAGUAGUAGUAAUCGGUGAUUGUUAUGCUCUCUUAU